AACGCACGCUCCAGCUCUUCCUAGGCACAGCGGGGCAACCUGGGAAAGAAACGAGAGACACAGGUGUCGGGAGUGGAGGAAGAUGGACCAUCUGAGUGUCCAGUGUGGAAGCCCCACAGGUGUGUGAGACAUGUCAAUGUCGGAUAAAGUCAGGAGGGUUUUAUCAGAAGAGUGGUUUUCACAACCCAAGAGAAGUGAGAUAAUGAAAAGGGAAGCGGCAUACCUGAGUCCAUUCGUUCGUCUGGGGAUCGUAAGCCUCCACUAUGUUCAGGAAUUACCUCUCUACACAGUCGGAAAGUCUGGAAGUCAAGUUGGAUGUGGGAGCAUCGUGUCCUCCGAUCGCAUACAGCAGUCCGUUCCAGGUUGUCACGCCUACGCCGCCUCUCCUUUUCGACAUCUGGGCAC